AUGAUGGUGAUAUGCAAUUUUCAACUUGCAAAUGCAUUCGCAAAGAAUCCCAAAUACUAUCCAAAAAUCAAAUUACCAAAUAUAAUUAUCUGAGAGAUAUGAUUAUACAAAUCAAUUUUCAGAGACCGCAUAAUAAGCAUGUCAGAUUUAUAGAAUUGUAUAAUAUCUUAUGGGCUUGCUAAAGUUGUUGUGACUCUCUGUUGUUGUGAGUGCAAGGUUUUUUGUCCAGCCGCUUUCUGUGUUUGGAUUUUGUCUUGCCGUUAGUUCUUGGUGUUCAUUUGUUUGUUUUGCAUGAUUGUUGUCUCGGCGUUACUGCUGAGUUUGUAAUGGAGUCUGAUUUUCAGGCAUUGUCAAUCCGUGAGAAAGAGGAAGAGGAGUUGGGAGAUCAAUCAUUAUGUUUAUUUGGUAGGGAGAUUCUUGGGUGAUCGGAAUAUAAAUUUCAAUGCGAUGGAAAGAACUCUCCUUAGUUUGUGGAAACCAAUCCAAUAGGAAAAUAAUAGGGUUUUGGGUGAUUAUCUAUAUCUUAUUCAAUUUUACCAUAGGGCAGAUCUGAAAAAGAUUAUGAAUGGACGGCCCUGGUCUUUCAACAACUGCAUUCUCCUAGCUUAUCAAUUGGCUAUAUAGAAUCUCGAGGACAUUGAUUUUCAUUUAGCUGAUUUUUGGGUUGAAGUGCACCAUCUUCCGUCGAGUUUUUCUUCCGAGUCUCUAGCGAAAAAUUUGGGAAAUGUUUUGGGUUCUUUUCUUGAUUAUGGUACUGAGGUGAACAGGAAUCGAUUGAAUAGUUAUAUGCGCAUACGGGUCAGAUUGGAUAUCCGUCAACCAUUAUUGCGCUGGAAAAAGAUAAGGAAACAAGGCAAAGGUUGUUUGGAUGCUAGUUUCAAUAAUGAACGUAUCCCUACAAUCUGUUAUUUAUGUGGCUUGAUUUGUUAUAGCGAAUCAAAUUGUAGAAAACUCAUUGAUAUUGGUGAGGGGGAAGUGGUGCGUGCUUGGCUGGAAACUAUCCGUGCGGAGGUUCGACAGGCGUAGAAACAACGUGCAUUGCCAUGGCGGAGGGAGGGUCAACUGUUUUCGAGGGCUAAUCGAAUGGCUACUUCUUAGGGUUCUUCGAGUUUUAAUAAGCAGGAAAGGCGGACCUCUUGAAUAGAUAAGAGAUAUGCGUUCUAUCCUAAGCAAUUUUAGUUCAAAAGUUGGUAUAGGGGUUGCUAAUAAGGAGAAUAUUGUUGGUGAUGAUCUUGGGGAUAAUUCUGUAGGACCCGUUGAUGAACUAGAUGUCAAUAUAAAACAUACUGAAGCUUCUGUUAUAGAGACUGAUGAUCUGAAGAAAAGGCCACGGUCUACUGUGGAUGAUACUGUCGAUGGGAAGCCUUUUGGUGGAGAUGCUGUCUCUUCGAUCAACACUUCUGUUUCCACUUCUUUUUUAUCGGCUGGACUUGCAGACAACAAUGAUUUGCCUUAGUUGGAACUGCCAGGGACUGGGUAAUCCCCGAGCAGUAUGAGCUCUUCAAGAGCUUACUUGUACUGAGGCAAGUGAAAUAGAAUUCUUAAGUAUUUUCAUAUUCUAUUCUUGAGCUCUGGGUCUAAUGAUUUUUCGAAGUUUUCACAUGUUCAAUCUCGAGUUCUGAUGAGGAUAACAGGGCAUUUUUAGCACCAUUUACAAAGAUGGAGAUAAAGACUGGUUCAGUAUGCAUCCAAAUAAGGCUCCAGGCCCUGAUGGUUUUAACCCGGCUUUCUUCCAAAAGUGUUGCCAUUUGGGGGAGGUGGACGUAGUCCAGCAUUGUCAACAAUGGUUAAAUUGUGGUGAGUUCCCUAAUAAUUUGAAUGAUACUAUUUUGGUAUUAAUUCCCAAAACUAGCAAUCCGAUGGCUAUGAAGUAUUUGAGACCAUAGCUCUUUACAACGUCAUUUAUAAGGUUGUCGUCAAGGUUCUUGCUAACAGAUUGAAGGUGUUUCUGCCGAAAAUCAUCUCGCCUGUUCAGUCGGCAUUCAUUCUGAAUCGCCUUAUAAUGGACAAUGUUCUAGUUGCAUUGGAGAUAGUUCACUACAUGAAAGGAAAACAGUGAGGUAAAGUGGGGGAGGCAACACUUAAAAGUUGAUAUUAGUAAAGCAUAUGAAGGGGUGGAUUGACAUUUUCUUCAUUUUAUGCUUUAGAAAAUGGGUUUUGCCAGUCAUUGGAUUGAUUUGAUUCUGUUAGGUGUGAGGACGGUCCAAUACAAUGUCUCGUUUAAUGGUAGUUUGCUUGGUCCUUUUUGGCCCCAGUGUGGUUUAAGGGAAGACAAUCCUCUUUUGCCUUGUUUGUUUAUUAUUUGUGCUGAUGAUCUUUCAAGUCUUCUUCGACAGGCAGAAGAGCAUGGAGAUUUCCAUGUUAUUGCUGUUUGUAAGGGUACUUCGCGAGUUUCUCAUCUCUCUUUUGCUGACAAUAGCUUUUUUGUUUUCAAGGCAACUGAGGAAGAAAGUUGUAAGACAGCCUAAUAUGAAUAGUGUGACCACGGGUAUUAUUCAGUCUAUUCUAGGUGUUGAGUCGCCUAUUGACCAUGAGUGCUAUCGUGGCUUGCCUUCGCUUGUUGGUAAAAAUAAAAAAGUGCUUUUGGUUUGUCAAAGAGAGGCUUCAGCAGCGGCUUGACAGUUGGAAGAAUAGAUUUUUAAGCAAGGUGCUCAUUAUUAAAACUGUUGCACAAACAUUGCCUACAUAUACUGUUGUUGUUGCUCCUCUACUAUAGGCAGAUGCGAGUAGUUAGGAAGAAGCACCUGAGGACGGUUAGCUUAAAUGUAAUGUGGACACAACAACGUUUUCCACCAAGAACCAGACCAGUUUUGCUGGUGUUAUUAGAGAUGCUACAAGUAGGUUUAUUCAGGCUUUGUCGAGGCAUUUUCAAGGAGUCAUGGACGCUCAUGUGGCUGAAGCUAUUAUCAUGCGCAAGGCUCUUUCAUGGAUCAAGGAUUCAAACUGUGACCAAAUCGUUAUUGAACUCGAUUGCAUGGAAGUGUUCAAUGCUUUGGGUCAAGCAAGUUCACGAGUGUCAGAGUUUGGUUUAGUUUUGAACGAUUGCACUAAAUUAAAAGAUCGGUGUCGUAAUAUAUCCUUUCAAUGAAUUUGACGGAGUGCCAAUAAAACCGCUUAUUCUUUCGUGAGGGUAGCUUUAUUAUAUGCAAGUCGUAUUGUUUGGGAUCUUAUCCCCUCUUGUUUGAAUUCUAUUCUCUUUUUUGAGUUUCUUAUUGCUAAUGCUAGGAUUAGGAUGGACAUUAGGAACGGGAGUAAGCCUAUUGGCUUGGGAUUAAGUUGGUCA